GACAGAGGAUGCAAGCGUUAUCCGGAAUGAUUGGGCGUAAGGCGUCUGUAGGUGGCUUUUUAAGUCCGCCGUCAAAUCCCAGGGCUUCAACCCUGGACAGGCGGUGGAAACUACCAAGCCGGAGUACGGUAGGGGCAGAGGGAAUUUCCGGUGGAGCGGGUGAAAUGCGUAGAGAUCGGAAAGAACACCAACGGCGAAAGCAACUCUGCUGGGCCGACACUGACACUGAGAGACGAAAGCUAGGGGAGCGAAUGGG
rnacentral:rRNA from 1 species